GAUGAAGAACGCAGCGAAAUGCGAUAAGUAAUGUGAAUUGCAGAGUUCAGUGAAUCAUCGAAUCUUUGAACGCACAUUGCGCCCGUUAGUAUUCUGACGGGCAUGCCUGUCCGAGCGUCAUUACAACCCUCAAGCUCAGCUUGGUGUUGGGCCCCGCCGCCCCGGCGGGCCCUAAAGUCAGUGGCGGUGCCGUCCGGCUCCGAGCGUAGUAAUUCUUCUCGCUCUGGAGGUCCGGUCGUGUGCUCGCCAGCAACCCCCAAUUUUUUUCAGGUUGACCUCGGAUCAGGUAGGGAUACCCGCUGAACUUAAGCAUAUCAAUAAGCGGAGGA
rnacentral:misc_RNA from 1 species